AUUGGACGCUGGCGGCAUGCCUUACACAUGCAAGUCGAACGGCAGCACGGGUGCUUGCACCUGGUGGCGAGUGGCGAACGGGUGAGUAAUACAUCGGAACGUACCUUAUCGUGGGGGAUAACGCAGCGAAAGUUGCGCUAAUACCGCAUACGCCCUGAGGGGGAAAGCGGGGGACCGUAAGGCCUCGCGCGAUUAGAGCGGCCGAUGUCUGAUUAGCUUGUUGGUGAGGUAAAAGCUCACCAAGGCGAUGAUCAGUAGCUGGUCUGAGAGGACGAUCAGCCACACUGGGACUGAGACACGGCCCAGACUCCUACGGGAGGCAGCAGUGGGGAAUUUUGGACAAUGGGGGCAACCCUGAUCCAGCAAUGCCGCGUGAGUGAAGAAGGCCUUCGGGUGGUAAAGCUCUUUUGUCAGGGAAGAAACAGCAGCUCUAACACAGACUGCGAAUGACGGUACCUGAAGAAUAAGCACCGGCUAACUACGUGCCAGCAGCCGCGGUAAUACGUAGGGUGCGAGCGUUAAUCGGAAUUACUGGGCGUAAAGCGUGCGCAGGCGGUUAUACAAGACAGGCGUGAAAUCCCCGGGCUUAACCUGGGAAUGGCGUCUGUGACUGUAUAGCUAGAGUGUGUCAGAGGGGGGUGGAAUUCCACGUGUAGCAGUGAAAUGCGUAGAUAUGUGGAGGAACACCAAUGGCGAAGGCAGCCCCCUGGGAUAACAC
rnacentral:rRNA from 1 species